AACCAUUCUCACCUGCGGCUAGACCUGCGGAAGGAUCAUUACCGAGUUUACAACUCCCAAACCCCUGUGAACAUACCACUUGUUGCCUCGGCGGAUCAGCCCGCUCCCGGUAAAACGGGACGGCCCGCCAGAGGACCCCUAAACUCUGUUUCUAUAUGUAACUUCUGAGUAAAACCAUAAAUAAAUCAAAACUUUCAACAACGGAUCU
rnacentral:misc_RNA from 1 species